rnacentral:lncRNA from 1 species
CUGUAUUUAGAUAUAAGCCCUUUAAACCGGCAUUUAAAGUUUAAUGACGUCAUAAGGGUGGAGGCCUAUAGCAUCCAAUAAGAUUGGUGUUCUUACAACAGGUGAGAGAGACAGACACUGGGAGUGCUCAUGCGCAGAGGAAAGGCCGUAGGAGGAUGCUAUAAAAAGGCUGUUGUCUGCAAGCCAAGGGGUGAGGCCUCGGGAGAAACCAAGCCUGUUGACACCACGAUCUUGGACUUCCACCCCUUCAGAACGUCUGUGCCUCAAAGAGGAUAAACCAAAGUAUGCAUACAUCCUGAAAGCUGUGAUAUUGUGCAGAAAUGAUAUGAAUUUGAAAAAUCAUACAGAUAGCAUCAUUCAAAUAACUUGGGCUCUUCCUAUUUCCUGAACUUUUUUCACUGAAGACAACCUUGGAACACUAACUGGUUAACUGAAGGUCACAAAGAGCUCAGAAUUAAAGUUCCUUACCACUAAGCCUCCGGAGGGGAGAAAGGACAGUAUGUCACUCUGUUGCGAAAGCUGGAGUAUAGUGGCUCAAUCAUAGCUCACUACAGCCUCAAGAACUUGGACCCAAGUGAUCCCCCUGCCUCAGCCUCCUGAGAAGCUGGGAUUACAUUUGUGUGUGUUUUUUUCCCCCCCAAGCACUGCUUUAUCAGCAUUACUAUUUUGAUAUACCGUAUUUUGUUUUUAUUUGGUUUUUGUUUUAUUUGCUUUGAGAUAUAUUUUAUGGACAAGUCAUGAAUUAUCUUGAUAAAUAUUCCAUGUUCAAUUUUUUGAAAAAGCUGUAUACACAGUAGUUUUGAGUGUAGUAGUCUACACAUCUCAAGAUGCAAAUUAGGUCAAAGUGAUGGAUAGUCUUGGUCAGAUGAUCAAUAUUCUUCCUAUGUUUUGUCUACUUGUUUUAUUUUAAUUUCCCAGAGCUGAACAGUAAAAUCCUUAACAAUGAUUGUGGAUUUAUCCUUCUUUUCACUUCUUUCUGAUUUUGCUUUAUGAAUAUUGAAGUUCUUUUAUUAGAUAGAUAUCCAUUUGUCAUUGUUAUAUCUUCUUCUUCAACUGAUUCAUUCAUUAUUAUAAAGUGUUACUCUCCUUACCUUGUAAAAAAUGUUUUUUAAAAAAUUAAAAUGAUCCAUAAAAGCCUUUUUAUAAAUUAAGAUUUCAUUGUUUAUUUUUCUGUCCUUUUACUUUCAACCCACCUGUGACUUUCUGUCUAUCUUACCUGGGGUUCCUUGUAGACAGUAUGUUGUCAUUUUUUUAAAUUCAAUAUAAUAAUUGAUUCAUUUUAUCAG